CACUUUCACUUUCGCGUCUCGCACAAGCCGCGGUCUUUUGAACCAUCAUCUUCUGUCUAAAAUUCUUCUUUACAGUGCAAGUUAAACAAAAGAGGCAGGUUCGACUGUGUGCUGUCAAACCUGUGUAAAACGGCCUCCCAUUGUCAAGAACUGUGGCCGUAUAACACAGGUGGCAGUCUUAGGCAGGACUAAUCAAAAUGAAGAAAGCAAAUCAUUUUCUUCUGAGGUCCAAACCAGGGCUGAUCUCAGGCUGUACACUGCUGUGUAUGAGCACCAAACAGUUGGAAGUCAGAGGUUGUUGAAGCAUUGGGAAUUGUCUUGUGAAAUAGCUGUUCAAUAUGAAGACAGCAGAGGUUCCCACACAAAAGGAUGUGCUGAGUUUGUUACAAGAAGA